UACGUAGGGUGCGAGCGUUGUCCGGAAUUACUGGGCGUAAAGAGCUCGUAGGCGGUUUGUCGCGUCGUCCGUGAAAACUUGGGGCUCAACCCCAAGCUUGCGGGCGAUACGGGCAGACUUGAGUACUGCAGGGAGACUGGAAUUCCUGGUGUAGCGGUGAAAUGCGCAGAUAUCAGGAAGAACACCCGUGGCGAAGGCGGCCUC
rnacentral:rRNA from 1 species